rnacentral:rRNA from 1 species
UACGAAGGGGGCUAGCGUUGCUCGGAAUCACUGGGCGUAAAGCGCACGUAGGCGGCUUCUUAAGUCAGGGGUGAAAUCCUGGAGCUCAACUCCAGAACUGCCUUUGAUACUGAGGAGCUUGAGUCGGGAGAGGUGAGUGGAACUGCGAGUGUAGAGGUGAAAUUCGUAGAUAUUCGCAAGAACACCAGUGGCGAAGGCGGCUCACUGGCCCGGUACUGACGCUGAGGCGCGACAGCGUGGGGAGCAAACAGG